rnacentral:rRNA from 1 species
AGAGUUUGAUCCUGGCUCAGAUUGAACGCUGAGGCUUAACACAUGCAAGUCGAACGGCAGCGGACCUUCGGGUGCCGGCGAGUGGCGAACGGGUGAGUAAAGUAUCGGAACGUACCUUUCAGUGGGGGAUAACGUAGCGAAAGUUACGCUAAUACCGCAUAUUCUGUGAGCAGGAAAGCAGGGGAUCGCAAGACCUUGCGCUGAUUGAGCGGCCGAUAUCAGAUUAGCUAGUUGGUGAGGUAAAGGCUCACCAAGGCGACGAUCUGUAGCGGGUCUGAGAGGAUGAUCCGCCACACUGGAACUGAGACACGGUCCAGACUCCUACGGGAGGCAGCAGUGGGGAAUUUUGGACAAUGGGGGCAACCCUGAUCCAGCCAUGCCGCGUGAGUGAAGAAGGCCUUCGGGUUGUAAAGCUCUUUCGGCCGGGAAGAAAUCGCGCCAGUUAACACCUGGUGUGGAUGACGGUACCGGAAUAAGAAGCACCGGCUAACUACGUGCCAGCAGCCGCGGUAAUACGUAGGGUGCGAGCGUUAAUCGGAAUUACUGGGCGUAAAGCGUGCGCAGGCGGUUUUGUAAGACAGGCGUGAAAUCCCCGGGCUCAACCUGGGAACUGCGCUUGCGACUGCAUCACUCGAGUACGGCAGAGGGGGGUGGAAUUCCACGUGUAGCAGUGAAAUGCGUAGAGAUGUGGAGGAACACCGAUGGCGAAGGCAGCCCCCUGGGCCGAUACUGACGCUCAUGCACGAAAGCGUGGGUAGCAAACAGGAUUAGAUACCCUGUAGUCCACGCCCUAACGAUGUCAACUAGGUGUUGGGUGGGUAAAACCAUUUAGUACCGUAGCUAACGCGUGAAGUUGACCGCCUGGGGAGUACGGGCCGCAAGGUUAAAACUCAAAGGAAUUGACGGGGACCCGCACAAGCGGUGGAUGAUGUGGAUUAAUUCGAUGCAACGCGAAAA